rnacentral:rRNA from 1 species
UACGAAGGGGGCUAGCGUUGCUCGGAAUCACUGGGCGUAAAGCGCACGUAGCGGAUUCUUAAGUCAGGGGUGAAAUCCUGGAGCUCAACUCCAGAACUGCCUUUGAUACUGGGAGUCUCGAGUCCGGGAGAGGUGAGUGGAACUGCGAGUGUAGAGGUGAAAUUCGUAGAUAUUCGCAAGAACACCAGUGGCGAAGGCGGCUCACUGGCCCGGUACUGACGCUGAGGUGCGAAAGCGUGGGGAGCAAACAGG